GACGAACGCUGGCGGCGUGCUUAACACAUGCAAGUCGAACGGUAAGGCCCUUCGGGGUACACGAGUGGCGAACGGGUGAGUAACACGUGGGUGAUCUGCCCUGCACUUCGGGAUAAGCCUGGGAAACUGGGUCUAAUACCGGAUAGGACCACUGCCUGCAUGGGUGAUGGUGGAAAGCCUUUGCGGUGUGGGAGGGGCAGCGCCGCGGCCUAUCAGCUUGGUGGUGGGGUGAUGGCCUACCAAGGCGACGACGGGUAGCCGGCCUGAGAGGGUGACCGGCCGCGCUGGGCCUGAGAUGCGGCCCAGCCUCAUACGGGAGGCAGCAGUGGGGAAUAUGGCACAAUAGGCGCAAGCCUGAUGCAGCGACGCCGCGUGAGGGAUGACAGCCUUCGGGUUGUAAACCUCUUUCAGCACCGACGAAGCGCAAGUCACGGUAGGUGCAGACGAAGGACCGGCCAACUACGUGCCAGCCGCCGCCGUAA
rnacentral:rRNA from 1 species